rnacentral:tRNA from 2 species
GUCUCCUUAGUUCACCCGGUUAGAACAGCCGCCUUUCAAGCAGCAGAAACGAGUUCGAGACUCGUAGGAGAUGCCA